UUGAUUUUUUUUUUCCCUGUUAUUGCACUGGCUAGGACUUCCCACACGAUGUUGAAUAACAGUGGGCAGAGUGAAUCUGCUUUUCUUGUCUCUGACCUUUUGGAGAAAGUAUUCAGUCUUUCACCAUAAAUAUGUCAGCUGUAGCUCUUUUAUUGAUGUUCUUCAUCAAGUUGAAUAUGGAGUCUUAUGUUGACCAGGCUGGUCUUGAACUCCUGACCUCCAAUGAUCCUCCAUCUCAGCCUCCCAAAGCCCUGGAAUUACAGGCAAGGUUAUUGAAGAUCACACAGGCUGAGGAAGGGCUGCUGAAUUCUUCAAUAUGAACCAUCCCUUUGAUAAGAAACUGAGUGGGCCUGGUUCUUCUCAUCCCAGGAGACCUCUGGUGUGCUUCCUGGCAUAUAAGAGAGCUCCCUGGCAGAGAAUGAAAACCACGCCCCUGCUUCACCUCUGCCUACACCUGGAUCUGGAAACCACUUAGGCACUACCAGGCAGCACCUGUUCUCUGCAGGGUCCAACCCUCAGUAUCUCUCUCCACAUUUUGCCCUCAGCCAGGCCUGGCCUCCUCUUCCUGAAGAAUCUUAUGUAUCCUUCAGAGCCAGCAAUCCCAUUACUGGGUAUACAUCCAAAAGAAAAUAA